AGCUUUACCUUGAUGCACAAAAGGCUACCAAAUAAUCUGAUGCAGAGCAAGUUAUAAUACUAACGCGGUCAUCGUAGGCAUAGCUUGAUGCUGCAGGGCAUACUUGUUUGAAACUCUUGGAAUAAUUUGUAGGCAAACAUGUGACAGGAUCUUUAUACGCCCCACGGCAACAGUACUCAUCAGUGUUGAAGGCAUCGCAAGCACUGCGGCAGCCGACAACUUUCCCAUUGUUCUUAACUUCAAGAUCUGAUGAGCAGUUUUGCCUCAAGUCUCCAUCACAACCAGCAAUGCUGCAAUUUCCCUUACCACCACCAGGCUUGACCACAAUAGGCAGGCUGCCAGCGCUUGUACAAUUUAUUGAAGUGCCACAACUUCCUGUUUGGCAUGUGCCAUUGCCAUUUUUAUCAAAACUGCAACCGGUCCGACCCCAUAUGCGGCCACUCCACCCAUUCGGGGCAUUAUAGAAGGCAGUCUGACCUGAUUCCAAGGCUUUGUUACACCUGCCCAAAUAUAAAUAUAAGGGAACUUAUAUGUACUUUUCCCGGAACUAGAAAGAAGCAGAAAAAUAGAAACGUGGAAGAACUGUGAGGCAAUGCCAUCCUAGAGGAGAGACCUGAAGACAGCCAUGGAAGACAGAGGUUCCCUUGUUUUUAAAUGAUCAUAACUUGGAGAAUACGUGUAGGAGUUGGUGAAUCUACAAGCACUGUUCAACAAAGCUCAAAAAGAUUUCCUUUGCUUACUUCCCUAACCAAUUGAUUUUAUACCUUGCCUCUAUCUCAUUACAUUGUACUUAGAAAUUUUUAUGUUAUUUUCCCACUUUUUAUCUGCCAUUAUUCUUCUUUCUCUUUCAUAAAAUAAUAAUCCAGCUUUUCAAUGAAGGUAUUUCAAUCAUAGCCAA